rnacentral:rRNA from 1 species
UACGGAGGGUGCGAGCGUUGUCCGGAAUCAUUGGGCGUAAAGGGCGCGUAGGUGGCCCGGUCAGCGUGCGGUGAAAGCUCGGGGCUCAACCCCGAGUCGGCCGUGCGAACUGCUGGGCUUGAGCACUGUAGAGGCAGGCGGAAUUCCGGGUGUAGCGGUGGAAUGCGUAGAGAUCCGGAAGAACACCGGUGGCGAAGGCGGCCUGCUGGGCAGUAGCUGACGCUGAGGCGCGACAGCGUGGGGAGCAAACAGG